rnacentral:rRNA from 1 species
UACAGGGGGUGCAAACGUUGCUCGGAAUCAUUGGGCGUAAAGGGUGCGUAGGCGGCGCGGUAAGUCGGGUGUGAAAUCUUGGAGCUUAACUCCGAAACUGCAUUCGAUACUGCCGUGCUUGAGGACUGGAGAGGAGACUGGAAUUUACGGUGUAGCGGUGAAAUGCGUAGAUAUCGUAAGGAAGACCAGUGGCGAAGGCGGGUCUCUGGACAGUUCCUGACGCUGAGGCACGAAGGUCAGGGGAGCAAACGGG